GAUGAACGCUGGCGGCGUGCCUAACACAUGCAAGUCGGACGGCAAGGGUAGCAAUACCCCUAGAGUGGCGGACUGGUGAGUAACGCGUGGGUGACCUACCCUCGAGAUGGGGAUAGCCAUUAGAAAUAGUGGAUAAUACCGAAUACGCUCUGGAUGCUCUGGCGACCAGAGGAAAUCAGGCUACGGCCUGGCUCGAGGAUGGGCCCGCGUCCCAUUAGCUAGUUGGUGAGGUACGGCCCACCAAGGCGACGAUGGGUAUCCGGCCUGAGAGGGUGUACGGACACAUUGGGACUGAGAUACGGCCCAAACUCCUACGGGAGGCAGCAGCUAAGAAUAUUCCGCAAUGGACGAAAGUCUGACGGAGCGACGCCGCGUGGAUGAAGAAGGCCGAAAGGUUGUAAAAUCCUUUUGCUGAUGAAGAAUAAGUGGUGGAGGGAAUGCCAUCAUGAUGACAUUAGUCGGUGAAUAAGCCCCGGCUAACUACGUGCCAGCCGCCGCAGUAA
rnacentral:rRNA from 1 species